CGUCUGUAGUCUUGGAGCCUGCGCUGGGUUGGCUGUACCCCAGAGCACCCCAGACUUGCAGAAAAAGCAUGCACCAGAGGAAGCUGAGGCGUGGCCACUGGAGAGCCUGCAGUGACACGUGCAAUUUUCCUCUGAUAGUUCUGGGUACUGUUGCCACGGUGAUAGUGACUGUCUGUGUCAUUAUCUAUCCACCAACAGUGAGAGGAAGCUGUGCAGUCGAGAUAUUGUUUAGCAGACCAAGUGGCUUCUGUUGGACACUUAAGUACUGCUACAAAC
ensembl:scaRNA